rnacentral:rRNA from 1 species
UACGGGGGGGGCAAGCGUUGUUCGGAAUUACUGGGCGUAAAGGGCUCGUAGGCGGCCGACUAAGUCAGACGUGAAAUCCCUCGGCUUAACCGGGGAACUGCGUCUGAGACUGGAUGGCUCGAGUGUGGGAGAGGGAUGCGGAAUUCCAGGUGUAGCGGUGAAAUGCGUAGAUAUCUGGAGGAACACCGGUGGCGAAGGCGGCAUCCUGGACCAAUUCUGACGCUGAUGAGCGAAAGCCAGGGGAGCAAACGGG